rnacentral:rRNA from 1 species
AGUGAACGCUGGCGGCGUGCCUAAUACAUGCAAGUCGAACGGAGUGGCGCACGGGUGAGUAAUGUAUAGCUAAUCUGCCCUACACUAGAGGACAACAGUUGGGAAAGACUGCUAAUACUCUAUAGUGUAGGAUGAGGCUAUAUUGUAUCAGCUAGUUGGUGAGGUAAUGGCUCACCAAGGAUAUGACGCAUAACUGGUCUGAGAGGAUGAUCAGUCACACUGGAACUUAGACACGGUUGAGACACUUACGGGAGGCAGCAGUAGGGAGUAUUGCUCAAUGGGCGAAACCCUGAAGCAGCUCAGCCGCGUGGAGUAUGACACUUUUCGGAGCUUAAACUCCUUUUGUUAGGGAAGCGGUACCUAACGAAUAAGCACCGGCUAACUCCGUGCCAGCCGCCGCGGUAAUAC